UGCAGUCGAGCGAAUGGAUUAGAGCUUGCUCUUAUGAAGUUAGCGGCGGACGGGUGAGUAACACGUGGGUAACCUGCCCAUAAGACUGGGAUAACUCCGGGAAACCGGGGCUAAUACCGGAUAAUAUUUUGAACUGCAUGGUUCGAAAUUGAAAGGCGGCUUCGGCUGUCACUUAUGGAUGGACCCGCGUCGCAUUAGCUAGUUGGUGAGGUAACGGCUCACCAAGGCAACGAUGCGUAGCCGACCUGAGAGGGUGAUCGGCCACACUGGGACUGAGACACGGCCCAGACUCCUACGGGAGGCAGCAGUAGGGAAUCUUCCGCAAUGGACGAAAGUCUGACGGAGCAACGCCGCGUGAGUGAUGAAGGCUUUCGGGUCGUAAAACUCUGUUGUUAGGGAAGAACAAGUGCUAGUUGAAUAAGCUGGCACCUUGACGGUACCUAACCAGAAAGCCACGGCUAACUACGUGCCAGCAGCCGCGGUAAUACGUAGGUGGCAAGCGUUAUCCGGAAUUAUUGGGCGUAAAGCGCGCGCAGGUGGUUUCUUAAGUCUGAUGUGAAAGCCCACGGCUCAACCGUGGAGGGUCAUUGGAAACUGGGAGACUUGAGUGCAGAAGAGGAAAGUGGAAUUCCAUGUGUAGCGGUGAAAUGCGUAGAGAUAUGGAGGAACACCAGUGGCGAAAGGCGACUUUCUGGUCUGUAACUGACACUGAGGCGCGAAAGCGUGGGGAGCAACAGGAUUAGAUACCCUGGUAGUCCACGCCGUAAACGAUGAGUGCUAAGG
rnacentral:rRNA from 1 species